GACGAACGCUGGCGGCGUGCUUAACACAUGCAAGUCGAACGGAAAGGCCCUGCUUUUGUGGGGUGCUCGAGUGGCGAACGGGUGAGUAACACGUGAGUAACCUGCCCUUGACUUUGGGAUAACUUCAGGAAACUGGGGCUAAUACCGGAUAGGAGCUCCUGCUGCAUGGGGGGGGUUGGAAAGUUUCGGCGGUUGGGGAUGGACUCGCGGCUUAUCAGCUUGUUGGUGGGGUAGUGGCUUACCAAGGCUUUGACGGCUAGCCGGCCUGGGAGGGUGACCGGCCACCAUGGGACUGAGAUACGGCCCAGACGCCUACGGGAGGCAGCAGUGGGGAAUAUUGCACAAUGGGCGGAAGCCUGAUGCAGCAACGCCGCGUGCGGGAUGACGGCCUUCGGGUUGUAAACCGCUUUCGCCUGUGACGAAGCGGGAGUGACGGUAAUGGGUAAAGAAGCACCGGCUAACUACGUG
rnacentral:rRNA from 1 species